AGUCGUAACAAGGUCUCCGUUGGUGAACCAGCGGAGGGAUCAUUACCGAGUUUACAACUCCCAAACCCUUAUGUGAACCGUACCUAUCGUUGCUUCGGCGGGAACGCCCCGGCGCCCUGCGCCCGGAUCCAGGCGCCCGCCGGAGACCCCAAACUCUUGUGUUUUUUUCAGUAUUCUCUGAGUGGCAAACGCAAAAAUAAAUCAAAACUUUUAACAACGGAUCUCUUGGCUCUGGCAUCGAUGAAGAACGCAGCGAAAUGCGAUAAGUAAUGUGAAUUGCAGAAUUCAGUGAAUCAUCGAAUCUUUGAACGCACAUUGCGCCCGUUAGCAUUCUAGCGGGCAUGCCUGUCCGAGCGUCAUUUCAACCCUCAGGGUCCCCGUUCCGGCGGGGAACCUGGUGUUGGGGAUCGGCCCGCCCCGUGCGGCGCCGUCCCCCAAAUUCAGUGGCGGUCUCGCUGCAGCCUCCCCUGCGUAGUAGUUACAACCUCGCAUCGGAGCUCAGCGCGGCCACGCCGUAAAACCCCCGACUUUCUGAACGUUGACCUCGGAUCAGGUAGGAAUACCCGCUGAACUUAAGCAUAUCAAUAA
rnacentral:misc_RNA from 1 species